UACGUAGGGUGCAAGCGUUGUCCGGAAUUAUUGGGCGUAAAGGGCUCGUAGGCGGUCCGUCACGUCGGGAGUGAAAACUUGGGGCUUAACCCCAAGCCUGCUUCCGAUACGGGCGGACUAGAGGUAGGCAAGGGAGAACGGAAUUCCUGGUGUAGCGGUGAAAUGCGCAGAUAUCAGGAGGAACACCGGUGGCGAAGGCGGUUCUCUGGGCCUUACCUGACGCUGAGGAGCGAAAGCGUGGGGAGCAAACAGG
rnacentral:rRNA from 1 species